rnacentral:lncRNA from 1 species
GCACCCUAUCAACGAGUUGUCCGAUUCAUCUCAAAAUUUAAGGGCAGAUAGAUCUUGACCUGAUAAACAAUUUUACUAAAUGUCAGAUUUGCUUUUAAUGCUUUUGUUUUUGAUUGAUAAGCCAAAAACUGCAUUUUACCCCUAUGUUCUAUUUUUAGCCAUGGCGGCCAUCUUGGCUGGUUGGCCGGAUCACCGCACACAAUUUUUAAACUACAUACCCAAAUGAUGAUUGUGGCCAAGUUUGGUUUAAUUUGGUCUAGUAGUUUCAGAGGAGAAGAUUUUUGUAAAAGAUAAUUAAGAUUUACGAAAAAUGGUUACAAAUUGACUAUAAAGGGCAAUAACUUCUAAAGGGGUCAACAGACCAUUUUGGUCAUGUUGACUUAUUUGUAAAUCUUACUUAGCUGAACAUUUUUGCUGUUUACAGUUUAUCUCUAUCUAUAAUAAUAUUCAAGAUA